GAUGAACGCUGGCGGCGUGCCUAAUACAUGCAAGUCGAACGGAGUUAUAGAGAUAAGCUUGCUUAACUUUAUGACUUAGUGGCGAACGGGUGAGUAAUACAUAAAUAACCUGCCCCGAUGUCUGGAAUAACAGUUGGAAACGACUGCUAAUGCCGGAUAUGUGGUUUCAAGACAUCUUGAGAUCAUGAAAGAUGGGAUACAUCGCAACGGGAUGGAUUUAUGGUGCAUUAGCUAGUUGGUAGGGUAACGGCCUACCAAGGCGAUGAUGCAUAGCCGGCCUGAGAGGGUGACCGGCCACACUGGGAAUGAGACACGGCCCAGACUCCUACGGGAGGCAGCAGUAGGGAAUUUUCGGCAAUGGGGGAAACCCUGACCGAGCGACGCCGCGUGAGUGAAGAAGGCCUUCGGGUUGUAAAGCUCUGUUGUAAGGGAAGAAAUGUAUGGAGAGGGAAUGCUCUGUGCUUGACGGUACCUUACCAGCAAGCCACGGCUAACUACGUGCCAGCAGCCGCGGUAA
rnacentral:rRNA from 1 species